GGUUCUGUAAUUUUUAUUUGCCUAAAGAUUUGUGCAGUAUAUUUUUUGAGCUUGGACUGGAAUCAUGAUUGUGGGGUAUCGAACAGGGCCUAAUUUCUAUUGUACGGUUAUAAACAGGGUAUUUAAGGGUAUGUUUUGACUUAAUGUGGGAUACAGCAGUGGAAGGCUGGAGCAAAUUAUGAGGAGCGGUUCGAAAGCCUGAAAGGAAGAAAACACUUGGAAGAACUAAGCGUAGAUAGGAUAACAUUAAAAUGAAUCUUACAGAAGUAUGAUUUGAGUGUGUGGCUUCGAUUCAUUUGACACAGGAUAGACGCUCUUGUGAACACUGUGAUGAAUCUUCGGCGUUCAUAUUAAACGAAGAGAUUAAUCAUCCUUCCAUCCGACGCUAUGUAGUCUGAAAUGUUGAACUUGUCAAUGGAAACCAUAAGCCAGAAAUGAAGCAGGGGUGCCAACCACUGAACUGUUGCAAUCUUGUGUUUUGUGUAAAUGACCUACUUCGCCCGUUCAUAGAAGAAAGCCAGUGCAAGGGUGGCAGUAUGUUGACGCAAGGAAUUUGUUACGAUCUGUUUGAAGUCAAGAUUUGAAUAUUUUGUAGAUAAACGGAUAGAUCGCUACUUUAUAGCCUAUAUUUCGUAUUACCCUUCAUUUAGCAAUUCAGCCAUAAGUUUGUGUGUUAAUUGUACGAGCAUAUUCGUAUAGUUUUUAGGAGAACCGAUAAACCAGAUUUGUGAGAACUUCCCAAAAAUGAUUUUCGCUCCUUGAACUUCUACGAAAUCUGAUCCUUUAACCUGACACUGGCGAAUUUUCAGAAGUGUCUGACGAAAAAUAAGCAACAUGUCUCCAGGUACGAAGCGUGGAAUCAUCAAUCGUGGGAAAUAAAUUAUAUGAAUGUUUCCCCACUGUUUACUGCUGUCUGAAAUUUUUAUAGCAUUACUCGGUGUUAUGGUUUGUUUUAUUUGUGAACGUAGUUCAUUUCUUUAUCAACAACAGCUUAAUUACCCACAAUACCCUAGUAGUUGCUCCUGUUUUGUGUUUGAUUUCUUACGCGACUAAUUUUAUUUUAUGUAUUUAUUUAUUAUAAUUCUUCUAACGUAUCUUUACCAGCAGCUUUGUGGCGUCGAAUGAGAGGAAGCUACUGAAUAAUCUGGGAGGGAUGUGGAAGGAAGCGGUCGUGGCCUAAUUUAAAUUAUUAACCCGGAAUUUGACUACUCGACCACGACGUUCUGUAUAACGUUCAUGUACCAUGCAUAUGAGCGAUGAAAAAUGCUUACAAAAUUUUUGUUGGAAGUGCUGCAGGAGAAUGAUGACUUGGGAGAUAUAAUUGUGAGUGGGGAUAAUAUUGAAAUGGAUCUUAAAUCAUAGGAUGUGUGAACUAGAUUACUCUGAGUCAGGAUAGGGACCGGUGGUUAGAUUUAUUGAACACGAUAAUGAGCGUUUGAAUUUUAUAAAAAUCGUAAUAUGUCUUAAUUAGCUGAGAGACAUUUCUCAUUUCUCUAAUCGUGACUGCAUUGUAGAGACUGAGUCAGUGAAUUUAUUAACUUCUUCGUACUAAUUUGACUAAGCUGAACUAACCAAAUGAAUUGUCUUGUUCAUCUCUGACAAACAUUGCCACCAUGUUGAAACAGAAAAACCCUCGCAUGAUAGAACACAGUAAAUCUUAGACAGCAGUUUGCUCUGUUUCCGAAAAUUUCUUGAUAAAACAAUGGAUACUUUGAUAAGUGUGAAGAGAAAGUAUUUUGUGAAAGUUUUGAGGAGAAAAUUGUACGUUGCCAGUCGCGACUGACUCCGAAAUUAAUUUUCAUUUGUUGAAAGAAAAAUUACCGUCGUUUAUGAACCGAAAGGGAAAAAACAAAACACUGACGCCUUUGUUCUUCUCGCUGUAUGAAGCAUUCUUUGUUGUUCUAAUAUUUUGAAAGCUUCGUGUGUCAACUAGCGUCUUAGUAGUAUUACUUUCAGGUGAAGACUUUCUUUCCGAUUUGAGGAAAUGCUUGGUGUCUCCAUAAUUGCCAUGUUGAUGACAGAAUUCAGGACUGAAACGUCGGUAAACGUCUACCAGACUACCGCCGUGAAAACUUGAAAUCUUAUUUAUUUAUGCAAGUUGUUUAUAUGUAAAAUAAAUGAGGAUAUGUGACCUAUUAAAAAACAACUCUGUAAGGGAACGUACAAAAAUGUAUUUCACAGUACAUAAAUGUUUGAAUUACAUCACA